CUACUAAGGAGCAGCCGUGAAACCCGCUCUGCGUCGCACACCCUGCCACACAUACCUGCGUUUCUGUAGCGGCGUGUAUACCGGGUAACUAUGGCAACCCCCGACGCACACAACGCACAGAGCUCCCGCCCAUUCCCAUGUGUGCGAUAUGAUGUCAGUCAGUGUCCAGUUACACACAGGCUAACGCUGCAGCUGCUGCUCCGGCGUGAUGAGAGCAGAGCGCUGAUUGGCUGGAGUACCCAGAGGAAACACACACAGAACAUGGGGAGAACAUACGAAAUCCCAACUGGUAGGUUCCUGGUAGGAAUUAAACCGAAGACCUCAUUACUACGAGGGAGCAGUGCUAACCAUAGUGCAGCUGUGCUGUAUUUGCUGCAGCCUCUCAGCUUACCAGAAGCUAGUGAUAUCACUGAGGGAUGAAGAACUCUUUUGUUAAGAACACAGAUUCAGUCCAGUGGGAGUUGCCGUCGAUGGACAGGUCAUUGAGGACAUCUCUCAUAACUCACAACGCGUCAGGAAGGCGGCGACGGGCGUCCAGCUGCCAUGGUAACCGACGGCCACCCCAUGAUGACGUUUACGGAAGACGCCGGGUCCUGGGUCUGGGAGGCGCUUCCCACUAACGCAGAUGGGGCUUCUUCUCUUGAUAAGAAGGCAGUCUGGGAGCAGAGGAGCUUUGUGAGAAGAAGGGGGAGUCUGCAGGAGUGACUGGAGGUGCUGGACGCAUGCUGAGCGAGGAGAAGAGCGAAAGCUGAGAACAGGUGCCAACCACAGAGUCAUUCUGCGUGGUGAGAGCAGCACUACAGAGUAGAAGCAGCAGGGUGCUAACGGGAAGCUGAGAGCUGGGUGAGCAAGUGCGAGACAUUGCAGCCGGAGACCGGACACCACCAGGCCUAGUAAAAGAUGCAGAUGCCGCGGCCAUCUUGUGACAGUGAGGAGCCAUUGAAACUAGUCCAGCAAAAUGAAUACUUUUGUCAUAGAGUCCUGAGUGUGCACAUUGAGACUGUUUGUGACCCAAACCACGGGCAGACCAGACCCCAGCCCAAGUAUCCUUGCUGUGCAGUGUAAAGGGCACAGACAGCAUAGUGCGAUAUCCAAAAGUUAGUGCCUGUUGAAGGGUCAGUCUAGGUAACCACCCCCUGCUUUAACAUUGUUGGGAUACCAUAGACUGAGUUAUAUGUGCAGAGUGCAAAUGAGUUACCUAAUGUAGAAAAGGAUGAGUUAUUUGUACAAGUGAAAGUAAGUUCCUUUAACUGGAAGGAAGGGGUUUGUUUAACCAAGAGACCCUCAUUGACAAUUGAGUUAUAUUUGUCAGGAGACACUACCAUCCCUUCCCUAGCUAUCUUCUUUUAAAAUAAAACUUUCAUACAUUGACAUUAUUACAACCCAGGAUUCUUUACAUCUGUGUUCCAAUUCCCCUAUUGCAACACUGUGGCAUCACAAAAUUCUACAACAGCUCCAACAUUAUUGCCGGUGAAGAUCAUUAUACCUUGGCUAGGGAAAGCUAGAAAUGUAGUAAUUGUUAUUGAAAAGUUUGUGUUUUAUUACUGUUCUCGUUACCACAUUAUAGAUUGGGAUUGGGAUUAUAAUAUGCCAAUAAUUGUGAUUCAAUUGAUUGUUUUUUGCAUUUUUGAAUUAUCCAUUGUGAUGUGAAUUGUAACCAAUUGCCUUCCCUUUAUCUUCCUUUGAUGCCCAAUUUUUCUUGUGAUUAAUCAAUAUUAUCUGCCAAUUAACCAAUCAUCAUCCACAAACCAGAGUUUAUUGCG